CUAGAGAUGAUUAGUGCGACGGGUGAGUAACAUUUAGGAAUCUACCCUAGUAUGGGGGAUAGCUCGGGGAAACUCGGAAUUAAUACCGCAUACGACCUACGGGUNAAAGGGGGCGCAAGCUCUUGCUAUUAGAUGAGCCUAAAUCAGAUUAGCUAGUUGGUGGGUAAAGGCCCACCAAGGCGACGAUCUGUAACUGGUCUGAGAGGGAUGAUCAGUCACACCGGAACUGAGACGCGGUCCGGACUCCUACGGGAGGCAGCAGUGGGGAAUAUUGGACAAUGGGGGCAACCCUGAUCCAGCCAUGCCGCGUGUGUGAAGAAGGCCUUUUGGUUGUAAAGCACUUUAAGCAGGGAGGAGAGGCUAAUGGUUAAUACCCAUUAGAUUAGACGUUACCUGCAGAAUAAGCACCGGCUAACUCUGUGCCAGCAGCCGCGGUAAUACAGAGGGUGCGAGCGUUAAUCGGAAUUACGUGGGCGU
rnacentral:rRNA from 1 species